rnacentral:rRNA from 1 species
GGCGCACGGGUGAGUAACACAUGGCUAACCUACCCUUCAGAGGGGGACAACCACUGGAAACGGUGGCUAAUACCCCAUACGCUCGCAAGGAUUAGCAGCUUGCGAGGAAAAGCUCCGGUGCUGAGGGAGGGGGCUGUGGCCCAUCAGCUAGUUGGUAGGGUAAAAGCCUACCAAGGCGAAGACGGGUAGGGGGCCUGAGAGGGUGACCCCCCACACGGGCACUGGGAUACGGGCCCGACUCCUACGGGAGGCAGCAGUGAGGAAUAUUGCCCAAUGGACGCAAGUCUGAGGCAGCAACGCCGCGUGCGGGAUGAAGGCCUUCGAGUCGUAAACCGCUUUUCUGUGCGAAGAGGAAGGACGGUAGCGCAGGAAUAAGUCUCGGCUAACUACGUGCCAGCAGCCGCGGUAAAACGUAGGAGGCAAGCGUUAUCCGGAUUUACUGGGUGUAAAGCGCGUGCAGGCGGUUUCGUAAGUUGUGCGUGAAAGCGCCCGGCUCAACCGGGCGAGGCCGUGCAAAACUGCGGAACUAGAGGCAGGUAGAGGCGUGUGGAAUUCC